rnacentral:rRNA from 1 species
GUGUCAGCAGCCGCGGUAAUACGUAGGGUGCAAGCGUUGUUCGGAAUCACUGGGCGUAAAGGGAGUGUAGGCGGGAUCGUAAGUUAGGAGUUUAAUCUACGGGCUCAACUCGUAGUCUGCUUUUAAUACUGCGGUUCUUGAGUAUGGGAGAGGGCGAUGGAAUUCCAGGUGUAGCGGUGGAAUGCGUAGAUAUCUGGAAGAACACCAGUAGCGAAGGCGGUCGCCUGGCCCAAUACUGACGCUGAUACUCGAAAGCUAGGGGAGCAAACAGGAUUAGAUACCCUGGUAGUCCUAGCCGUAAACGAUGAACACUAGUUGCUGGAGGAGUCAAUCUUUUCGGUGACGAAGCUAACGCAUUAAGUGUUCCGCCUGGGAAGUACGCUCGCAAGAGUGAA